rnacentral:tRNA from 2 species
GGGGCUAUAGCUCAGCUGGGAGAGCGCCUCGCUGGCAGCGAGGAGGUCGUCGGUUCGAAACCGUCUAGCUCCACCA